GAACUGUGAUACGUGAUGUGAAUUGCAGGACACGUGAAUCAUCAAAUUCUUGAACGCAAGUUGCGCCCUCGGGCUAUCCUGAGGGCACGCUCGUUUGAGCGUCACUUAUAAAUUCAUGGAGACUCUUUCUUUUUUUGGUUCUUUCCUGGCUCUUUUGGAGCUGUCUUUCCUCCUGGCCCUCGAGGCUAUGGGUAUGUGGGGACAGGGCCUGGAACUGGUGAACGGAACAAAAAGGGGAAUCUCUGAUUCGGCCGUAAUCGCAGCCUUUUCAAAGGAUGCGGCUUCGGCUAGGAACUAUUGAAGACAGCUUCGUACUGCUUUUUGUGCAUACCAAAAACUGCGGGCUGUGGAUGGGUGCGUCCCAACCAACUUGCAGUUGCACAAAGCUGGUAUCAGAGGAUCUGGCUUCAGGCAUUGACAACGAGUCCUUCACACCGACUCGUGGCCAAGCUAUUGUCGAGUGGGGGUGGGAACCCCUCUCCACUCACAACCACAGUGACCUCAAAUCGAGCGGAGCCACCCGCUGAAUUUAAGC
rnacentral:misc_RNA from 1 species